AAAGUUGAAAAAUAGCGUUAAUGCACCGGAUCCCAUUAGAACUCCGUAGUUAAGCAUGCUCAGGAUAGAGUAGUACUAGGAUGGAUGACUGCCCAUGAAGUGAUAGUAUUUUACAUGC
rfam:Picea glauca, whole genome shotgun sequence.